AUGUGUAUAUUUGCUAUGUAUGCAACAUACAGGUCGUCAAUGAAACAUCAUGGCUGGCAGGAUGAAUCUAUAGUAAGUAUUCUUUUAGGAAACAAUUCCAAGCAUAUAGGGUUCUCCCUUUUCUCUAAACAUAACAUGGUUUGGUUUCCUGCCGGUCUGCAUUUGGAAGAGCAGGACAUCAUGAACAUCAUGCAACACUUGAAAGUGGUAGAACAUUAUGAACAUCAUGCAACACUUGACGAAUAUCAUAGUUACAUAAACUGGUGUAGUAAAAAUUUCUGA